rnacentral:lncRNA from 10 species
UAAGGUGGUAUUUCUGAUCUUCAUAACUGCCCUUGAUCCUGAGUAUGUACCUUGCUGGGGACAGAAAACACAUAAGGAUAUUAUCUGAUGUCCUAAAACAAGCCACUGCCAGGUCAACCCUUCAGCAACAGAGAAGAGCAGGUGUUCUGACCCUUAUUCUUCCUUCUGUCAGAACUGAAAUAAGUGGCUUAGUAAACAUAGAAAUGAAGAUAAUGCAUGGCAAGAUCUCCAAAUAACCCAGGAAGCAUCAAAAAAGAAAAAACAAAACAAACUGAAGUUGACCUGGCCUCACAGUGACCAGAUUAUCAUACCUGAGUAUGGUUCAGGCCCCAGGGCUCUGAGGAAACAAGAGUACUAUAUCAUAGACUCAGUAACAAGAGUUAAAUGUGCUUCCUUCUCAUAACUCCAGCAAUUGCCAUGCUCUGAUUAAUAUUUUUGUGACUAUCUCUACUGCUACUCUUUCCUGCUCUGAGUUGGCUUUUCUUACAUGGCCAAAUUUCUGAGAGAGAAGUUGGGUUUGGUAAGUCACUCUUUAGAUAGAGCCACCUGUAGAUUGGAUAUCCUUGGAUAAGAUGCCCAUCCACUUAGUAUCUGCCAAAGAGAAGACUGAAAUUUGGGGAUCAUGCAGUCACAACACGAAAAAAAUUUGCAGAAGGAAUUUUGUAGAUGGAGACUGUGCAUAGAAAUUGGGGCAGAAGACGUAGCAGGUUAUCUGAGACUUAGCCUAUACGGGACACAAAAAUUUUUAAAAAUAGCUGAGAUAUUGAAAAUAAAAGUGAUAAUUUAAAAUAAUUAUUUAGGCGUCAAUAUGUUGAAAGCAUCAAAGAGAAGAAUCAUUGUAUAAGUAAGGCAGAUAGAAGCAAGGAUGUUAUGUUUAUUCCUGUUUGAUGUUUAAAGACCUGAACUGGAACUAAGGGAGUGGGACUUGGCAGAACUGGACCUGAAAUAUCUAAACAACCCUAAUACAGCUUGAUAAAUGACCAGUCAUGUGGUAAAGAAUCCUUUGGGCAGAGUAGUUAACAACACAUACUCAGUAGCUUUAGAGUCUGAAAAAAAAUCUAGUUUUGUGUUUCCAUUUUGUCACUUAUUAACUGUCUGACCAGAAGAAGUUGUUUAUCCACUUCACACUUCAGUUUCUUCACCCAUAAAAUAGGGUUAUUCACAGCAGCAGGUGCAUAGUGUUGGUGUGAGAAGUGGAUUAUAUCAUGCCUGUGAAAUGUUGAGCAUAGAGUGUCACUUAGUAAAUACUCAGCACAUGUUACCUGUCUUUAAUAACUCUAUAAGAAGAGGAGUCCGAGAACCCCAUGAGGUAUAGGUUGAAUCCACUGAAUCCAUGAAAGAGAAGCCUCAGGAGGGAAAUUGAUCUGCAGGCAUCAGAGAUUGGGUUCUGCUUUGGAGGUGUUGGGUGGUCUGUAGUACAAAAUAAUCUCCAGCUGGAAAGGCCAUAAAAGCACUGAGUGCAUGGAAGGUUAUUAACUUGGAAGAAGAUAAGAAACAGAACAAGAGAAUGGCAUCUAGGAAGUAAAAAUGAUGAUGUUGAAAGAGCAUAGGUGAGUUCUCCGGAGAAAAGAGCAAGGAGACCAGCAAGAAGAGACCUCACUCUGCCCCCAGCUAGAGAUAAAAGAGGAAAUAUGCUAAGAGAAUAGAGAAGUCUCUGUAAGAAAGUCCCAUGGCUCAUUUGUAGGAACAUGCAGUUUAAUAUCAUUUGAACUAUGUUUAACAUUUGUUAUUGGCCUUUUAUCUCAUUGCAAAAACAUACAAUUCUUCAGUUAGCUAAAAAUUUCAAUAAAAUUAUUUUAAUUUAUA